UUGUAUCUGUUAACAUUAUUUAAUGGACCUUUAACUAACACGAAACAGUGUUUUUAUUAAAUAACGUUAGCAAAUAUUAAUAAUAACUGUGACAAAUGUAUUGCUCAUUGUUAGUUAAUAUUAGUUGAUGCGCGGUAACAAAUGGGACGUUAUUGUAAAGUAUUACCCUUAAGUUUAUUACAUGAACAAAAAUCACACAAUAAAAUAUAGCUUUUUUUCUAAUUAUUCAUAGAUUAAUGUAGUUUUCCUUCUGCUAAUUUUCCAUGGCUGAUGAUCCGCUUAUUCCUUACAUGGAUUCAGUUGGAUCCACAUUCCACACAAAUCUUCACAAAACAAACACUUCAAAUAUGUAACUGCCAUGCGCCUCAAAAUUAAGCUUUAAAAAUGUUUAAAAUAUAAAUUCGUAUGAUAUCCAGGCUCAUUUUAGUUUAUUUUCCUAAUUGAUUAAACAAGUUCUUAAAAACAGAAAGCGCAUAUUUUAUAUAUCCUGUAAAUAAGUUUAUGUUUUGUAGUUCCCGAGGACACUUUAUAUACGCGGCGCCCCCUGGCGGAGAAACAGCGCGUUUUCAUCGGGUACACUUUCCUCUCGUGUUCAUGUAAACCCUGGCGGUUUGUCUUGUUUUUGUUCAUUAAAAUUAAAAUGACGUUAAACAAUAUUUGAGGUUAAUGCGGCGCUACCAACACACUAAACUACAUGUCCCAUGAUUCAUUGUGCGGUGCGCGGCGGAAGUGGGCGGAGUUAGCGUCAGCUCUCUGACAGACACUUUCAGGAAGUGCUCGAGGAGGAUCCCCCGUCAGCGACGCCUCACAUGUUCUCGUUCAGACGCUGAAACAGUUUCCGGCAGACGAGAGAGAGAACACAGUGUGUGUGAGAGAGAGAGAGUGAAA